rnacentral:misc_RNA from 1 species
GAAAUGCGAUAAGUAAUGUGAAUUGCAGAAUUCAGUGAAUCAUCGAAUCUUUGAACGCACCUUGCGCUCCUUGGUAUUCCUUGGAGCAUGCCUGUCCGAGCGUCAUUGCUGCCCUUCAAGCCCGGCUUGUGUGUUGGGUCGUCGUCCCCUCCGGGGGACGGGCCCGAAAGGCAGCGGCGGCACCGCGUCCGGUCCUCGAGCGUAUGGGGCUUUGUCACCCGCUCGAUAAGGACCGGCCGGGCGCCAGCCGGCGUCUCCAACCUUUUUUUCUCAGGUUGACCUCGGAUCAGGUAGGAAUACCCGCUGAACUUAAGC